rnacentral:rRNA from 1 species
CUUUACUGUAGCCUGGAAUGGUGUUCGGGCUUCGCUUGCGCAGGAUAGGUGGGAGGCGGUGAAGAUUCUCUUGUGGGAGAAUCAGAGCCAACGGUGAGAUACCACUCUGGCGAGGCUAGAAUUCUAACCCUGACCCAUAAACUGGGCAGGGGACAGUUUCAGGUGGGCAGUUUGACUGGGGCGGUCGCCUCCAAAAAGGUAACGGAGGCGCGCAAAGGUUCCCUCAAGCUGGUUGGAAAUCAGCUUUUUGAGUGUAAAGGCAGAAGGGAGCUUGACUGCAAGACUGACAAGUCAAGCAGGGUGGAAACACGGCCUUAGUGAUCCGACGGCACAGAGUGGAAUGGCCGUCGCUCAACGGAUAAAAGUUA